rnacentral:rRNA from 1 species
ACGAAGAGGUAUCGUAAUUGAAGAGGUUUGGAAAGACCCACCACAGAAGGUAAUAGUCCUGUAUGUUAAACGAGAAGACUUCAGAUAUGAUCCAGAGUACCACGGGACACGUGAAACCCUGUGGGAAGCAGGAGGGACCACCCUCCAAGGCUAAAUACUACCUAGUGACCGAUAGCGUAUAGUACCGUGAGGGAAAGGUGAAAAGAACCCCGGGAGGGGAGUGAAAUAGAACCUGAAACCCUGCACUUACAAGCUGUGGAAGCACAUUUCUUGUGUGACCGCGUACUUUUUGUAGAACGGGCCAACGAGUUACGUUAAGUAGCAAGGUUAAGCACUUAAGGUGCGGAGCCGUAGCGAAAGCGAGUUUUAACUGAGCGUUCAGUUACUUGACGUAGACCCGAAACCGGGCGACCUACCCAUGAGCAGGAUGAAGCGAAAGUAAAAUUUCGUGGAGGUCCGAACCCACGAGCGUUGAAAAGCUCGGGGAUGACUUGUGGGUAGCGGUGAAAUUCCAAUCGAGCCCGGAGAUAGCUGGUUCUCCCCGAAAUAGCUUUAGGGCUAGCCUCAAGGUGAGAGAUACGGAGGUAGAGCACUGAAUGUCCUAGGGGGUAUUGCACCUACCGAAGACUAUCAAACUCCGAAUGCCGUCAUCUUAUACUUGGGAGUCAGACUGUGGGUGAUAAGAUUCAUAGUCGAAAGGGCAACAGCCCAGAUCGUCAGCUAAGGUCCCUAAAUGUAAGUUAAGUGGUAAAGGAUGUGGGAUUGCACAGACAACCAGGAUGUUGGCUUAGAAGCAGCCACUCAUUCAAAGAGUGCGUAAUAGCUCACUGGUCGAGUGAUCCUGCGCCGAAGAUUUCCGGGGCUAAAACUU